CUAUACACAUGUAAAAUAUGGCACGAAAACAACGGACGCAAGUGUAGAUUUGAAGGUAUUUGUGGUAGCACAUUGCUGAGAAAUUAUUCACAGCUGCGAAUAGAUGUGACGAGGCAUUCACACAUUAUGGAAAUCAUGUGGUUAAUUAAAUAAGGAGCAGAUCAUGAAUAGAGAUACUCCAGAUUUACUCAGAUGCCCCUGAGAUACCAGUUCUCUUCUUCUUUCCCAACCUUCCUGCGGUUCCUGUGGAGGGUAAAUUCAAGAGCAAUGAAGAUGGAUUUGGACUGUAAUGAAUAUAAACUGCUACAAUGGUUCAUUACCAUGAACAGGUUUACAGUGAAGUGUUUAUCAGAGGACGGUUAAUAACCUGAACAAUGAUGAUGAUGGAACUAUAAUGAAUGGAUGUUUGAUGCCACUCAGAUAAGAAUUCCCUUUUGAGUUUCUAUCAAGUUUACUGGGCAGUUUUUCAUCUGUGUUUCCAUAGUAAAAACUGGUUUUAUACUACUGUAAAUGCUAUACGUUAGCUGCUGAUAUUCUAGGAAAGUAAACAAUGACACGGCGGGAAUGUGUGACCAACAGACACGUCACCUCCCUCUACAGCUGUGAAUAUUUUUCUCAGCAAUGUGCAGCAAAAUAAAUCUACACUUCUGUGGUUUUUGUGCCGUA